rnacentral:lncRNA from 1 species
GGAAAUUGAUCCUGGAAUCUAAUUGAGGCCCUGUGGCAUUCCUCGGGAAGAGAUGACCAGCCAAACAGUGGUGUAUUUGGUGACGUGAAUCAAGAGAAAUUAAGGAAAAAAAUCAUUGUAAGACUUUGGUGAGCCUUAACUUACUGGAGACCCCCUGAGUGAAGAAUGCAGAGCUGGGGCUCGAUACAAAAGCAAGAGGAAUUUUAUCGUUCCAGUAUGCUGGGGUCACCCUGCACACGGAGGAGAAGGAGAACUCCCUGCACAGCCUGUUCAGCAAGUUUUUAUACAGUUUUUAGAGCAGCAGCCAUUAGGCACGAUGUGAUUGGCAGAACGGUGUGACUUUUAGACUGAUUGGUCUUUAGGGAAUGAGGUGGCAAGGACUUCCCUUGUCUGUAGGUAGCCAACAGUCUUUCGGAAUGUGUCUACAUGCUCUGGGCCUCCCCCUUGGUCUUGGAAUGUAAUUAGUCCCUCCCUUCUGGAGGGGAGGGGUGCCUAUGUGCUCUAUGACCUUUCUCUUCCAGGAGGGGAGGGGUCUGGUGGAAUUUUCCAAAGUUCCUGAGCUGACCUCUUCAGGUUUCAACAUGUAUAAGAAAAAUUUAAAGUCUUCUGUUUUCCUAUUGUAUCAACAUUCCCCAAAUAUGCUAGGAACACCUCACUGGGUAACCAGCAUGAUGGGGCUCGUCCCUGUCACAAAUUCUGCUCUUGUCUUCUACUUAACUGUGACCUGAACACAUCCAAGCAUAUCUUUCAUAUCAGUGUAGACUCCAAUUCUGGUUCUCCUUGUUCUCAUGGAUUGUCAGCUGAUAUGAUCCAUAAGGGCAGUAGGAACAGAGACAGUAAGUGGGGGUGGGGCGGUGGGGUGAGUUUUGGAAACCCUGUGAGUACCUAUAGUGAAUGAUCAUAUUGGAAUCUGCUCUCUGGGGACUUAUCAACUUUACUUAAGCUGAUUCAAGGCCAGAAAAGUUUCAGGGGACUGAGGGCAGGGACAUCCAUGAAGGAAAAAGUCAUUGGCUGGGGGUUUAGGGUACCUGGAGUGCUUCAUUAGCAUGGGGAACCAUUUCAGGAAUCUGAGGUGCUAGCUGAACAGGUUUUGUCAGGAGAAAGGAAAUUGGUCCUAUAAUCAAACUAAGGCUAGUUGACUUUCCUCAGGUAGAGGUGAGUGUGGAGCCUCAGAAUUCCCAAGACAAGGUCAUAGAAGGAGAAGCCCUCCUCUUGCUCCUCUCCAAUGAAGGGAGUCUCCCAUAUUGUACUGAGCCCUGAAGCUAUCGGGUCAAUGUAGACUUUGACCUUAAUUAGCUGAGUUUUCCCAAAUCUCUCCCUGAUUUAUUUUUAAUGGAGAAAUGUCACUAAAGUAUUUAACCUCUAUAUCAGGAAACAGCUUAGUCGUGAACCAGAGCCUAAUCAGCAGUGAUUUUUGCCAUGCUACUCAUCUGGUAGGCUAUCUGGUCAUGGUGGAUUUCAACCUUAAUUAGCAGAGUUUCCCCACACCCAAUAAAAGCAUCUCCCCAGAGGGCCCUCCUCUUGCUUUCGGCUCAGCUGAGUACAUUACUUGGGAGUGCUGUUAGAUCACAUUGCUCCCUGCAUAAGCCAUCUAUCUCACCUUUAGGACCUGUGAACAUAAUAAAUUCAUUAAUUUUCAUAAGCCUCUAUCAACGUUAAUUUCCAUAGCAGUGCUGGAGUGACUCUUAAAGACUUCACAAAGAGGGUUUACUCCAUACUUAUAGCAUAAGCAGAUACCCUGAAUCCCCACUGCUCUUCAGAGGCUGAGGUUAUGGACCCAGCAAUUGUGGGAUAGUUCCCUUUUAAAGUCCAUCUGCACCUGUGGGAAUGGGUGACCUUAGAGAACAUAAGAUGACCACUGAAAGAUCUUGCUAGAAUAGCAUGCUGGGGAUCUUCCACUAGAAGGUUGUGAUGAACACUCCCUUCCCGGAAUGACCCAGCAAAACAAGCUUUACAAGAAAGCUCGGACUGCAAGGCAGGUGCAGAUGAUGACCAAGAGUGUUUCAGUUCUCUUUUCUGGUGACUAAGACCUCACUUCACCCAGGGCCAUCAAUGCAGUUUAGGGAAGGUCAUGAAAAGAUACUUGGCUAAUUACCAUUUCUAAAGGGUGGAAUGAAAAGGUCAGGGGCUUAAACCAACUCAUGCUGUUACCAAAAUCUGCCCUCAAAAGUUGUAUAAAUGGUGUGUGCUUUGUGUGUUUGGGGUCACCUCUGCCCUGAUUGCAGGACGGCCCCAGUGCACUGGAUCAAUAAACCUCUUGCUUGUUGC